UACGUAGGGUGCGAGCGUUGUCCGGAAUUAUUGGGCGUAAAGAGCUCGUAGGCGGUGUGUCACGUCGUUCGUGAAAACCUGCAGCUUAACUGUGGGCGUGCGGUCGAUACGGGCAUCACUGGAGUUCGGCAGGGGAGACUGGAAUUCCUGGUGUAGCGGUGAAAUGCGCAGAUAUCAGGAGGAACACCGGUGGCGAAGGCGGGUCUCUGGGCCGAUGACUGACGCUGGAGGAAGCGAAAGCGUGGGGAGCGAACAGG
rnacentral:rRNA from 1 species